UACGGAGGGCGCGGGUGUUAUUCGUUUUGAUUGGGUGUAAAGGGUACGUAGGUGGCUUUCUGUGUUUUGACUAAAAUCGCGGAGUGUUCCUACGCGUUAGUCUUUUAUAAUGGGAGCUAGAGUUGAAGAUAGGUAGGAGCAAGUUCUCAAGUAGGGGUAAAAUCUCGCCAUAUGAGAACGAAGGCCAGCUGGCGAAGGCGUCUUUCCAGUUUCAACUGACGCUAAGGUACGGAAGCUUAGGGAGCAAACGGG
rnacentral:rRNA from 1 species